rnacentral:rRNA from 1 species
CUUGAACGCUGGCGGAAUGCUUUACACAUGCAAGUCGAACGGCAGCACGGACUUCGGUCUGGUGGCGAGUGGCGAACGGGUGAGUAAUGUAUCGGAACGUGCCCAGUCGCGGGGGAUAACGUAGUGAAAAUUACGCUAAUACCGCAUACGAUCUAUGGAUGAAAGCGGGGGAUCGCAAGACCUCGCGCGAUUGGAGCGGCCGAUAUCAGAUUAGGUAGUUGGUGGGGUAAAGGCCCACCAAGCCAACGAUCUGUAGCUGGUCUGAGAGGACGACCAGCCACACAGGGACUGAGACACGGUCCAGACUCCUACGUGAGGCAGCAGUGGGGAAUGUUGGACAAUGGGCGAAAGCCUGAGCCAGCCAUUCCGCGUGCAGGAUGAAGGCCCUCGGGUUGUAAACUGCUUUUGUACAGAAAGAAAAGGUUUCUACUAAUACUAGGAGCUCAUGACGGUACUGUAAGAAUAAGCACCGGCUAACUACGUGCCAGCCGCCGCGGUAA